rfam:Schistosoma mattheei strain Denwood, Zambia genome assembly, scaffold: SMTD_scaffold0002074
AUCUAGCUGACGAGUCCCAAAUAGGAUGAAACCCACAUCCUGAAU